AGACGUAGGGCGCGAGCGUUAUCCGGAUUUAUUGGGCGUAAAGGGCUCGUAGGCGGUUAUGUAAGUCGGGUGUGAGAACUUGGGGCUUAACCCUGAGAGGCCAUUCGAUACUGCAUUGACUGGAGUUCGGUAGAGGAGUGUGGAAUUCCUAGUGUAGCGGUGAAAUGCGCAGAUAUUAGGAGGAACACCUAUUGCGAAGGCAGCACUCUGGGCCGAUACUGACGCUGAGGAGCGAAAGCGUGGGUAGCAAACAGGAUUAGAAACCCGAGUAGUCC
rnacentral:rRNA from 1 species